rnacentral:misc_RNA from 1 species
CUCCGUACAACCGCUGCGGGCUUUUGCUUCGGUACGAGGUUGUAGUACCAUCCCAUGUAGUAGAUACGGCCUGUCGACGUUCAGCUGUAAAAAGAUUCGCUACAUCGUAAACAAUGUUGUCGUCGAAACGUACAGAACGAAAUUCGAAGAAACGUCGAGUACCUUACAGAAAAACAACAUGUUGACACGUCGAUCGCUGGAACGAUUCGAUGUGUGUUUACAGGUGAGUCAUUGGUAUGGGACAAAGAGUAGAAGGCAAUCGUAGUUCAAUGUAUAGAAAUGAGGAAAUGAUGAAAAAUGAAGUGAACGGUGAGCAAUUAUUUUGAAA